rnacentral:rRNA from 1 species
AUGACAAACUCAGUUCAAUCCUCAAGUAUGAGUCCUAUUUGGAGUACCAUUUGGAAAUUAAGUGUACCAGCCAAGAUAAAGAUUCAUGUGUGGAGAGCCUUACUUGGAGCCAUCCCUUGUCCGGGGGUUCUAGCAAAUAGACAUAUGAUCAUGAGUUCGCAAUGUCCUAUGUGCAGUAUCAAUUGUGAGAGUAUUAAACAUGCCCUAUUCUUAUGCCCACGAGUAUAGGAUGUGUGGUGCAUCCUGGGUCUAGGACAAUUGGUGGCUGAGGUAUGUACUGCACAGCAUGAGGGAGGAUCAGUACUAGCUAACAUGUUUCUGUCCAAGAGCAGCCUACAGGCAACGGUGGUGGGAGUCCAACGCAAUGCACUAGUGGCAACCACUAUAUGGUAUGUGUGGUGGGAGCGUCGCCGCUACACCCACGAGGAGUUUCUACAGGACCCGUCUAGAUCGGCGCAGGCUAUUGCGGCUCUAGCUAAAAAUUUCACGAGAGCUAGAAAUAAGAACACAAAGAUCAGGAGGCACGGCUGGGAGAGGCCACCUGAGGGAAUUAUAAAAUUGAACGUCGACGCGGGUUUUGAGAUGGACAGCGGCUCUGGGAGUACAGGAGCUAUCCUGCGAGAUGACAUGGGAAAUUUUGUAGCUGCUUCGUGCGGGGACAUUCCCUUUGUGGAGGAUGUGGCAACGGCAGAAGCAAGGGCUCUGAGGAAUGGGUUGUUACUUGCUAAUGAUAUGGGUUGCAACAAACUUUAUGUCGAAGCGGACUGCAUGGAGGUGAUUGAUGUUAUGCAGAACGGCGGGAACUUCCUCGGACAUGCGGCGGCAAUCUAUGAAGAAUAUACUUUCUUAGCUCGUAAUUUUAGUUUUAUUGUUUUUAAUCACUGUCCUAGAGAAGCCAAUAUGGCGGCCGAUGUGUUGGCUAGGAAUUCGGAGUCCUCUCGAACUAUUGUUUGGAAGUCGGAGCCUCCGAGUUUUCUAGUGGAUGUCCUAUCAAACGAUGUAUCCUUAUUUUCACAUGAAAUAUAA